GACGAACGCUGGCGGCGUGCUUAACACAUGCAAGUCGAACGGAAAGGCCCUGCUUUUGUGGGGUGCUCGAGUGGCGAACGGGUGAGUAACACGCGAGUAACCUGCCCUUGACUUUGGGAUAACUUCAGGAAACUGGGGCUAAUACCGGAUAGGAGCUCCUGCUGCAUGGUGGGGGUUGGAAAGUUUCGGCGGUUGGGGAUGGACUCGCGGCUUAUCAGCUUGUUGGUGAGGUAGUGGCUUACCAAGGCUUUGACGGGUAGCCGGCCUGAGAGGGUGACCGGCCACAUUGGGACUGAGAUACGGCCCAGACUCCUACGGGAGGCAGCAGUGGGGAAUAUUGCACAAUGGGCGGAAGCCUGAUGCAGCAACGCCGCGUGCGGGAUGACGGCCUUCGGGUUGUAAACCGCUUUCGCCUGUGACGAAGCGUGAGUGACGGUAAUGGGUAAAGAAGCACCGGCUAACUACGUG
rnacentral:rRNA from 1 species